rnacentral:lncRNA from 1 species
ACUUUCCAUGUCCAGCCUAGAUAAGCCCAAUGCUUAUGACCCAUUUAUAGACCUUGUGACCCAUUCACCUCAAUUCUCAAUUGAUUGCUCUUCGAUUCAAUAACAGAAUCACUCAACCCUUCGUGACUUCGUUCCUUCACACACUUUCCAUCACUGCCCACCGUUCUCCUUCCCAUCUUCGACUGUACGUCUUCUCGGAGCUGGUCAAACUUGCUCCUCAUCUCCAAUCGACUCUACAUUUUCCUUUGGCUCCGAGUCCCAACCUCCAUUGGACCAUUACAGUCUUGCAGACUAGCAAGCAAUGACUGCGCAUGAUAGCAACUCAGCCAGUCGCUCAUUAAAUUGUAAUAGAAUGUGAUUUUAAAUUUUGAAUCAGCUGGGCAGCCAACAAAAGAAAAAGGUAAAGCUUCAAUUUCCACCAGUGAUUUUUGAAAUUUUUUUUCCUUAUUUUUUGUUUUUUUUUUUUUUAUAUUAGCGUUUUGUUCUUCAAUUGCUCAAAGCAGCGCUUUCUACACGUUGCUCUUCAAUUGAUUUUGGCAUAGACUUCCAGUGGAUUAGUUCAUUGUUGCUUCUAGCUCUCUGCGAAUAAGCAAUUGUAAGUUGCUUACACUGUCACUUGGAAGUUGAAAUUUGGAAAUAUUAUAUAUUGCAUUAUGAAGUUGUGAAUUGCACUUACACUGUCACUUGGAAGUUGAAAUUUGGAAAUAUUAUAUAUUACAUUGUGAGGUUGUGAAUUGCAAUGGAAUAAGUAUAAUAUAUAAAGUAUGAAAACUCGUAAGAAACAAGUAUAGUAUAUAAAUUAUAUCUUUUUAGUAUUGUCGUUUUAUUUUUUUAUCAUCAUUAAAUCUAUGACCAAAACCUCGAUGUCUGGUGUUGAAAAAAUUUUGCCCGCACUGAACUAAAAUCCUAACUCUGCCCCCCGCAUAUCAAAUCUAUUGUUUAUGAAAAAAGGAAUCUACUUGUGAAUAUUGUGGUGUAUUGCAUUAUAUUAAAAAUUGCUUAUUUUUGGCAACUUCAGAUGAAGUAAGGAAAACUAUAUCUUUAAUGAUCCAUAUGAAAAAGAAAAUGAUGACGGUGACAUUGUUAUAGGAUAUAUCAUAGCCAUACAAAAAUAUAAAAGGAUUGAAUAUCAAAUAAUUCUGGAUGAGCCAAGUAUUUAUGGAGGAUCUCUUUCUCAUUCAACCCUAGGAAACAACAAGAGAAGAAGGACAUGUAAAAAUUGAGGAACUAAUUAUAAAGGAGCCAAACAAAUUAGUGGCAUUCAAUGUAGGUGAAAUUAGUAUGCAAACCUCCAACUUCAUUGAUUUGUGGUUUAAAGUCAAUGAGGAGAUCAAAGUACUUUUAAUUAAGUUUGAAUCGAGCAAUUUAGGCAAGUUAUGCCAUAUUCAAGUCGAAAAAGUAAUAUUUUGGAGGAUGGACAAAAUAUGGUACAAAGAUAAUCUACGCAAGAUAAACAACCCUAUUCAAAGUUUUAUGAAAUAUCACAGUCCACAUGCUUGAAACUAUAAAUCAAUAACUAAUGGGAGGCAACCCAAUUCUUAACCUUAAAUUAUUAUUAUUAUUAUUAUUAUUAUUAUUAUUAUUAUUAUUAUUAUAUUAUUUAGGAUUACAUUUUAAAUAUAUGUAUAUUUUUCUAAUUUUCUAAACAAAAAGUCUGCAUUGUUCGUAGUCAGUUAUGGAUUUGCAAUCCUUGAUCCUGUCAUUGGCAGUGUGCAGUCCUAUUUGCCUCAGGCCAAUAGCAUGCUUGCAACCAGCGGUUAAAACCUCCCCCCCCCUCCAAAAAAAAAAAAAAGAAAGAAAAGAAAAAUUCUUUCUUUCUUUUUCUUUAUUCAUUUUUUUCUCCAAAAAAAUAUUUAAUUAUUUUUUUCUUUUCUUUAUUAUUUUUCUUUCUCUAAAAAAAUAGUUAAAACAAAUUUCCUUUUUUUUUUCUUUAUUCGGUUUUUAAAAAAAACACAAUUGACUUUUUUCUUUCUUUCUUUGUUUCAUUUCUUUUUCUUAUUAAAAUAAAUAAAUAUUAAAAAAUUAUUUCAAAUUAAAUUAACAUAAACUUGCAAGUGAGUAUAUGGGUAAUUAUUUUUCUUAUUCAUUUUCAGGUGUAACAAAAUAUUUUACAAAACGAGCAAGGAAAUGAUAUUGAAGGAAGUGCACAUAUUGAGAACAAUUUGUAUUUUAAGUUUGAGGGAGUAAAUUAGUUAGUAACUAUAUUUGCUUGUUUGAGAGAUUUAAAAAAAAAUAAAAAUUGAAAGAUUUGAAAUAUAUAGCUUUACCGAUUAUUUGAAAACUUUUGUGUUUCAUCAAUUGUGAAUAAGUUACACAAUAUUUUUGCUAAUUCGAUAUUUGUUUA